rnacentral:rRNA from 1 species
UCGAGAAUUUUUCACAAUGGGCGAAAGCCUGAUGGAGCGACGCCGCGUGGGGGAUGAAUGGCUUCGGCCCGUAAACCCCUGUCAUUUGUGAACAAACGUUGCUAUUUAAAAGAUGGCAGCUUGAUGGUAACGAAAGAGGAAGGGACGGCUAACUCUGUGCCAGCAGCCGCGGUAAUACAGAGGUCCCAAGCGUUGUUCGGAUUCACUGGGCGUAAAGGGUGCGUAGGUGGCGAGGUAAGUCUGAUGUGAAAUCUCCGAGCUUAACUCGGAAAUGGCAUUGGAAACUACUUUGCUUGAGGGUUGGAGGGGGGACUGGAAUACUUGGUGUAGCAGUGAAAUGCGUAGAUAUCAAGUGGAACACCAGUGGCGAAGGCGAGUCCCUGGACAACUCCUGACACUGAGGCACGAAAGCUAGGGGAGCAAACAGGAUUAGAUACCCCUGUAGUCC